rnacentral:rRNA from 1 species
UACGUAGGGUGCAAGCGUUGUCCGGAAUUAUUGGGCGUAAAGAGCUCGUAGGCGGUCUGUCGCGUCUGCUGUGAAAACUCGGGGCUUAACCCCGGGCCUGCAGUGGGUACGGGCAGGCUAGAGUGCGGUAGGGGAGACUGGAAUUCCUGGUGUAGCGGUGAAAUGCGCAGAUAUCGGGAGGAACACCAAUGGCGAAGGCAGCUCGCUGGGACGGUACUGACGCUGAGACGCGAAAGCGUGGGGAGCAAACAGG